CGAGACGUAGGUUAUAGAAACCGCUAACUUGUGGAGCUAGAAAUAUCUAUUUGAUCUUUCGGC
rnacentral:tRNA from 1 species